CCUACGGGAGGCUGCAGUGGGGAAUAUUGGACAAUGGGCGAAAGCCUGAUCCAGCCAUGCCGCGUGUGUGAAGAAGGCCUUCGGGUUGUAAAGCACUUUCAGUGGGGAAGAAAGCCUUGGGGCUAAUACCCUCGAGGAAGGACAUCACCCACAGAAGAAGCACCGGCUAACUCCGUGCCAGCAGCCGCGGUAAUACGGAGGGUGCGAGCGUUAAUCGGAAUUACUGGGCGUAAAGCGCGCGUAGGCGGUCUGAUAAGCCGGUUGUGAAAGCCCCGGGCUCAACCUGGGAACGGCAUCCGGAACUGGCAGGCUAGAGUGCAGGAGAGGAAGGUAGAAUUCCCGGUGUAGCGGUGAAAUGCGUAGAGAUCGGGAGGAAUACCAGUGGCGAAGGCGGCCUUCUGGACUGACACUGACGCUGAGGUGCGAAAGCGUGGGUAGCAAACAGGAUUAGAUACCCUAGUAGUC
rnacentral:rRNA from 1 species